GUGCUUGCUUCGGCAGCACGUGUACUAGAAUUGGAACGAUACAGAGAAGGUUAGCAUGGCCCCUGUGCAAGGAUGAUGUACAAAUUAGUGAAGUGUCCCAUAUUUUU
rnacentral:snRNA from 1 species